GCGACCCCAGGUCAGGCGGGAUUACC
rnacentral:ncRNA from 6 species